rnacentral:rRNA from 1 species
CGUCUAUAUACGUAUAGCAUAUCAAUAAGCGGAGGAAAAGAAACUAACAAGGAUUCCCUUAGUAACGGCGAGUGAAGCGGGAAGAGCUCAAAUUUGAAAUCUUCAAGGUUCUACCUUGACGAAUUGUAGUUUAUAGAAGUGUUUUCUGUUAGUGGAGUGGCAAAAGUUCUUUGGAAUAGGACAUCAUAGAGGGUGAGAAUCCCGUAUUUGGUCAUUCCUCCUAGCGUUGUGAUACACUUUCAACGAGUCGGAUUGUUUGGGAAUGCAGUCCAAAAUGGGUGGUAAAUUUCAUCUAAAGCUAAAUAUUGGCGAGAGACCGAUAGCGAACAAGUACCGUGAGGGAAAGAUGAAAAGAACUUUGAAAAGAGAGUUAAACAGUACGUGAAAUUGUCAAAAGGGAAGCGUUUGACACCAGUGUUGUUUUUCCGAAAAUCAAUUACGAAUGUUUUAUUUUUGAGGAGUUAUGACUUCAUCGGCUUGCUCCUUUCUUUAUGAAACUUUCUUAAUGCACUUUUCGGUUAACAAGUCAACAUCAAUUUCUUUUGUUGUAAAAGGGUAUGAGGAAGGUGGCUUUCUUUCGGAGAAAGUGUUUAUAGCCUUGUGCCUCUGCAAUCGGAGAGAUUGAGGUCUGCAGCGUAGAUCCUUCGGGGUUAGAUACAGUUUGUGCUAAGUUAUAGCUUUUUAUAGACAACUUGUUGACUAUGAUUAGUCUUGUAGCUUACUCGCUGAUGCUAUUUUACCUACGCUUAGGAUGUUGACUGAUAUGUAGUCGUA